CCCGCGGCACCGCCCCCCACUAGCGGCUCGCGCUGUUCCCGCCGUUACGCGGAGGCUGCGGGGCCGCUUAGGGCUCGUUCACCUGCCGGGCGGGUCUGACCCGCGCCCAGCGUUAGGACCAGGAGCAGAAGCAGCUUUUCCACGCAGCAGUAAAAGGCAAAGCCCCAGAGAGGCUGGCACGGCGGGUUCUGAGACUGCCCGGCCGUCUCCCGCUCGCUGCUGAGGAGGGUGAGGAGACGGCGAGCUGAGGAGGCAGCGGCCAGUGCCCCAAGAACACUGCAUGGGACUCCAUGGUGUAAUCAGAGGAACUCCCAGAUAAACGUAAAAGUAACAUUUUGUGGACAUUUCAGCUUAUGAACUCUAUUGGAACCUACUGACAGAACCCACAAGACAGGCUGUUAGGCCAGAGAUAUGUAUGGAAACAUAUAUAUUUCUCUGUAUAAUGCUGUGUUGGUGCCCAGUGACUUUUCAGCCUUCACAUGGUUGACUUUUGUGUUUCAUACAAGGAAGCAUGCAUUGGAAAUGCUGCCUUUGAAUCAUUUGUGUCCAGAGCUUGUUAAAAUACCUUCCACACAGUUUAUGUUUUACAAUAGAGGUACAGAGGACUCAUUCGUGUCAAGGCUGGGUAUCUCUCUGAGGGGUAUCGCCGUAGCCUGCAGACUAUUGUAAUAGCUGCUGGAGACUGUUCUUUAUGGUUGGACAGGUGCUCUCUUCUCUAGAGAAAGAGACUUUGGAAACAUGUUUGGAUUCCCCCAGGGAGGGCUGACCAUUCUGCAGCAGUGCAGGGACUGCGUGAACGCAACACUGCUUCUCCAGAUCUUGGGAGAACUUCCCUCCCCAGAGCAAUCCACCAAAAACGCAGGCCAGCUUCUGCUGCAACUCUGCCUUAAAUUCUAAAACCAGUUGUCAAACCUCAGGUAAGCAAAUCAUAAUCUUGUAAUUCUUGUAGUUUAGCCCCAGCUCACCCCUCCCUUGCCCCUAGUGUGAUGGGAAGGAAGAUCAGAAAAUAAAGGCAAAACUCGUGGUUUGGGAUAAGAACAGUAUAACAGAACAGCAAAGAAAAACCAAACAAACAGUAACAACAACAGUAAUAGAAGAACUUAAAAAGCAACGAACAUACAGCACAACCGCCACGUGGCAGUCUCACUGCAGUGGCCUGCCCUGCUCUGAAGCAGCCCAUGGACUCCUGCCGCAGCUUGCGCCUAAUUCUCCUGUCACCCUGGCCACAGCUCACGCUGAGACUGCCGUGCCCCAGACUGCAGCUAACACCCGAAAUACAAAAGCACCAAGCCACACAGUCCAGAGAGAAACCAGGAGUGACCUUGACUGCCCAGCUCCCUGCCACAGAGCCAGAGAGAGAGAGAGAGAGAGAGUGCUCCCCCUGCCCACCCCCUUUGUAACUGAACAUGACCUAAUACGGUAUCUAAUAACCCCUUUGCCUAGUUCCAGGCCUUAGCAGUGUAGAAAUUAAGCCUAUCUUGGCUGACCCAGCACAGUAAUGAAUUGAGUAUCUGAUUAAACACCACUGAUGCACUUGUAGAAGCUCUGUUGACAGUGCAGGAGUGAUAAAGGGGCAGACUCAUCCCACAAGGGGCCAUAAUUAGUCUAAUUUAUUUAACUUAGUCCUCAGUCCAUCAUCCAGUGGAUGAGAUGGAUACAAAUUUGAAAUGCAUUUUUUGCCGUGUGAAAACAAGGCUAACUGCAUCAUCGAGGAAAAUAUGUGGAAGUAUUGACUUGAAAGCAAAAAAAAAAAAAAAAAAAGUGGUGCAUGGCAAUGACAUUUCCCAGUAGCACAAUGUCAAGAAGUUGAUGCAGGGGGAACAGAGUGCCCUGAAUGAAGCAGCAGAAAUAAAGCAAAAUUCACUUCUCCAGACCGUAACUUCAUACAAGCAGGGACUUGUGGACAGCAUUCAGUCCUCAGCAAGACCUCUCACCUGCGAGGCAUUGCCACAGAAUGCCUGAGAGUAUUAGCUCCCUGUGAGGAUUACGAUGAGCUCUGUAGGCAGCAAGGUACAGAACAACAGUGACGAUGUCAAGGGGACCUGGCGGGGCUGAGGCAGCUCUGCUGAGGUCACUGCUGAAGCUGUGACCCUGGGGGAGUAGCAGCCAGGAACACUUGGGUAGGGCAAGCAAAGGUGGUGAUGACUAGAAAGACCUCAAGGAGAAGAGAGAAAUCACAAGGGGCAGCACUGCCCUGGUAGGUAAUACAAAUUAAAAAGAACAAAAAAAAAAAAAAAGAGAAAAAAAAUGAAUAUGAUUUCUGUUUUUAAUCAGGUAAGGGAGUUCCUGAAAGUAUUAAAGGUUAAAAAAAAAAAAAGAUAAGUAGCUCUUUUGUAAGGGUCUGAUGAGAGCACUUCAUACCCUUGUGGUGCCCUGUGAUGAGGGGGAGGAUGGGCACAGCAGAGGAUGUGAGGACAGCUCAGGGAAGGUGGCUGCGUGAGAGAGGACUCAGCGGGCUUGCUGGCGGUGGCAGGAGGAGGGCUGCUGGGGUGGGGUGUGACCCGCACUGAUAAACACCCUGCAGCAGUGGGAAUCUGUAGGAGUAGGAAUUAGAAUAACAUUGGUUGGAAGAGACCCUUAAGGUCAUUGAGUCCAACCGUAACCUAACUCUAGCACUAAACCAUGUCCCUAAGAACCUCGUCUAAAUGUCUUUUAAACACCUCCAGGGAUGGUGACUCCACCACUUUCCUGGGCAGCCUGUUCCAAUGCCUGACAACCCUUUCCAUGAAAAAAUUUUUCCUAAUAUCCAAUCUGAACCUCCCCUGGUGCAAUUUGAGGCCAUUUCCUCUUGUCCUAUCACUUGUUAUUUGGGAGAAGAGACCGAUACUCUCCAUGCUACAACAUCCUUUUAGGUAGUUGUAGACAGUGAUCGGGUCUCCUCUCAGCCUCCUUUUCUCCAGGCUAAAGGAAAAGGUUUGUAACCGCAGGAAAAAGGGAGGCGGGGGGGGGGGGGGCACAACCCCACAAAUAAACUUCCACCCUUUGCAUUCAGAUAAAGCCGAGGAUCCCACUCGGGUGCGGUGUUUCGGGGGCAGAGCGCAGGUCUCAGGAAGCAGGGGCCGCCCCUCCGGCCUGGAGCCGCGCGCCCUCUGCCGGCCCACGGCACCCAGCGGCCGCCGCGCCCCACGGCCCGAGGGAGGAAGCGCCGGGGCCAAGGCAAACACGGGCUGUCUGACAACCAGCCCUGGGCGCCCGGCGACAAUUAAAGCUUCGCAGGCUUCGGGCCGCCUCGACUAGUACGAACACACCGGUGAAAACGUCCGUGAGAAACGCCUGAAAACACACCGUCUGAUCUCUAUUCCAGACGAUCUCACUUUCCUUCCAGCGUAACUCCCAUUCCCCUCAUGGUAGCUGGGAGAUUUGGAAGCUUCCCUGUGCUACACAAAUGCAAAGUGCUGCAAGGAGCCGGCUGCAAACCCUGACUUCAGUUGAAGAAAAUUAGUUUUACAGUUGGAAAAAUAGGGUCAGCUUAAUUUCUCUGCCCCAUGAAAGAUUAGAAUAUGUCUACAUAAGUGGUUAUUAACUUCUGGUAUUGCUUUCAGAAGCUGGAGAAAUAAUGAUAAAUUUCCUUGGAGAGACUUUGGCUGAAUCAUUUUCCACUUGCAAAGGUAAUUCUGGUCAAAAUGAACUGAUUUCUUAAGUUAUGUCUUAUUUGGGAAACAAGCAACACUGAGCAUCCCGUAUUGUCACUUUUUGAAACAGGUUUAAUUUUUGCAUCAUGAGAUCAGCUUUUUGUCAUAGUAAAAAGUCAAAAUCCAAACAACAUAUCUGGGUUUCCACUCGAGUUUUUCUAACUUGCACUAACCAUGCAGAUUUGACUGGCACUGCAGUUCAAGAUCAGUUCAAGAUCAGUUUUUACUGAAUGAAUAAUCCCAGUGCUGUUCAGAUAUCCUGACAUUUUUUCCCCCACUUCAAAGGAGUUUUUUAGCCUAUGAUUUAGGUUACUUGACAAGACAUUACCAAGUGCAGAUAGUAAAUGAAUACCUCAGACGUUAGCAAUAAAUGUUUGUUUACUUGCUCCCUUCUAGAGCACCAUUUUACACACAGCAGUUACUGCUCAAUCAGAAUAACUGGCUGCCACAGCUAGUUGUGGUUUGAGAGCUGGGUCAUUCAGAGAUCCUCAGCCUCAAAAUCCCAGCUCUGAAAAGGCUGAAACGUGAUAUCAGCCCGUAGCCUCGAUGAUGGAUGAAGAUGCGUUGACAGCCAAAGGGGAGAGGAAGGAAGUAAGGUGAUACCACAGGCUAAAUAUCGCAACUCUCCCCAGCACGAAAGCAGCCUCACGGGUUGAUCUAAGGCAUCAAAAAUAAUUCAGAGGCAGCUUCCAAGGCUGCAGAGGGAGGCAGUGAUGCACCGGAGACUUGUCCCACGCACCGGCAGAUGGAGCGCUGUGGUACUGAAGAUCUCCACUGCACAGCCAGAGACACUCCAGGAACAGGACUUAUGCAGGUAAAUCCCGCAUGAUGCCACGGCUUUACCUGCAAAGUUAUUUCAACACAAUACCUGUGGAUAGUUAGCAUCCACAGUUAGAAUUUCUCUUUUUUUUUUUCUUUUCUUUUUUAAUUAACAUUUUGAAAGUAAAAGUCUCAUUACUUAUGUCAGAAUAUUCCUCUGUAAAAGUCACUGACUUUUAGCUGAAAGCUUGUAUGUAUUACAGAGCUUUAAAGAUUAGACACAUCAUGAAAUAUGUAUAAAAGUCCCACUGACUAUUCUGAAAAGACUUUUGCUGUCAUAAAUAAACUCCUGCCUAAACUGG